rnacentral:rRNA from 1 species
GUGGGGAAUCUUGCGCAAUGGCCGCAAGGCUGACGCAGCGACGCCGCGUGUGGGAUGACGGUCUUCGGAUUGUAAACCACUGUCAGGGGGAACGAAUACCAGGCGUCGAAUAGGCGACCUGGGGUGACGGUACCUCCAAAGGAAGCACCGGCUAACUCCGUGCCAGCAGCCGCGGUAAUACGGAGGGUGCGAGCGUUGUCCGGAAUCACUGGGCGUAAAGGGCGCGUAGGUGGUUCGGUAAGUAGCUGGUGAAAUCCCGGGGCUCAACUCCGGGGCUGCCGGCCAGACUGCCGGACUUGAGCACGGUAGGGGCAGAUGGAAUUCCCGGUGUAGCGGUGGAAUGCGUAGAGAUCGGGAAGAAUACCAGUGGCGAAGGCGUUCUGCUGGGCCGUUGCUGACACUGAGGCGCGACAGCGUGGGGAGCAAACAGGAUUAGAUACCCCGGUAGUCC